UAAUUUUUGUAUUUUUAGUAGAGAUGGGGUUUCACCAUGUUGGCCAGGCUGGUCUUGAACUCUUGACCUCUGGUGAUCCGCCCGUCUUGGCCUCCCAAAGUGCUGGGAUUACAGGCGUGAGCUACCGUGCUCAGCCAAUGUACAGAUUUUUCUAUUUAUCAACUUUUAUUGUUCAAUUUUAGUCAUUCUCUAUUAACUUCCUGCUAUUUAUACCACACAAAUGCCUUUCCCAUGCCUCCAAUAUAGCCAUGUCACUAAUUAUAUAUCCUCUAUUCCUUAUCUUUCUACCUUUAACUAAUAGACUUACUCUCCCUUUUCUCUCUUGUAACUUGUCAUCUGCACUUUUACUUUUAUAUUAACAAGGUUAAUAAUAUUUACACUCUGUUCUAUAACCAUAAUUAAGUCAUCCAUACUUUGCCAGUAGGUCAUUCUAAAAGUUUAAGGGCAAUAAAGUGUUUACAUUAUGAUGAUGAUGUAAAUAUUGUUCCAGAAAGAUCCAAUUAGUAUAUUAGGAUUACAUUGCUUUUCUUAUACAGCUUUUUUUCCUUAGAGUUUCUAAUUGUCUUUCUUUUUUUCCUUGCAUUGUCUGACUUUAUCACCUUCUUAAGUUAUUCCAAAUUCUCAAGGAAAGUAUAAAAUCAUUUGAAUCCCCUUUUUUCCCAGAUACCUUCUUCCUGGAGUCCUCCGUCUUCCUGUUCCAAUUUGGACUGAUUGCUCUGUAGGCCUGCGGUGCAGCUGUCAUCCUGGGACGUCCCUUCAUUAUUCUGGGUUGGACCCAAUCUUUCUUGGACCCCAUAUCUUCCUCUUUCUUAGUUUACUCCCUUGUAGUGGACAUUGUAGUUGUUCUGCAGCAUCCAUUCCACUCCUCUCCCGCUGUGUAACAACUAUGGGAUGUGAGUGGGAUUCACCCCACCACCAGCUCUAGGUGUAGGCCUUUAUUGGUAUAAACUGAUCUGAGUAAUUUCACUCUCCUAGCCACAGUGAUGACUGGUUCAGGGAUGACCCAAUCACAAUGAGGCUUAGGACUUUUAUUCAGCUUUUGAGGGAGGAGAUGACCUAUCUUCCCUUGGAUAAGAACAAAGAAGCAUGUAGCCUGGUUGCUGCUGUUAGCCAUCUUGUGAACAUGUGGAAGGCCUACCUGAGGAUGGAGCUGAAAAAUGGAGGAGGCGGAGCCAAGAGAAUCACAGAAAUGGAACCAUAUUCCGGAUCAUGCCAUGCCUGAAGUCUCCCUGCCCGUGGACUCUUCAGUUAAUCAUGCCGUCUGGAGCUGUGAUAGCCAUCUUGUGACCACGUGGGGAUGAGCACGAGGAAGAAGACAACAUGUGAAGGGAGCAAGUCAGAAAGAGCCCAAUUUCUUGAUGGCAUCAUUGAGCAGCUGAACCCGUGCCACAGUUCCUGUUAACUGAAAAAAUAAAUAAAGCCAUAUGUGU
rnacentral:lncRNA from 1 species